GAUGAACGCUGGCGGCGUGCUUAACACAUGCAAGUCGAGCGAGAAGUUUUGAAAAGAUUCUUCGGAUGAAAUUUAAAAUGGAAAGCGGCGGACGGGUGAGUAACGCGUAGGCAACCUGCCCCAUACAAAGGGAUAGCAUUUGGAAACGAAUAUUAAUACCUUAUGAAACUUAACUAGUGCAUGCUAGGUAGGUCAAAGAUUUAUCGGUAUGGGAUGGGCCUGCGUCUGAUUAGCUAGUUGGUGAGGUAACGGCUCACCAAGGCGACGAUCAGUAGCCGACCUGAGAGGGGGAGCGGCCACAUUGGAACUGAGACACGGUCCAAACUCCUACGGGAGGCAGCAGUGGGGAAUAUUGCACAAUGGGGGAAACCCUGAUGCAGCAACGCCGCGUGAACGAUGAAGGCCUUUGGGUCGGAAAGUUCUGUUCUAGGUGAUGAAAACUGACAGUAACCUAGGAGAAAGCCCCGGCUAACUCCGUG
rnacentral:rRNA from 1 species